GCAGACACAUUCCAGCCAAUCAGCAGCAGACACUCCCUCCCAGACCCUCCCAUCUCAUGGACAGCAUCCAUUUUGAAGCUGCAUUCUUAGUGAGCUGUCCAGGAGGUGGGAGGAUCUGGGAGGGAGGGUCUGCUGCUGAUUGGCUGGAAUGUGUCUG